AGUGAACGCUGGCGGUAGGCCUAACACAUGCAAGUCGAACGGCAGCACAGGAGAGCUUGCUCUCUGGGUGGCGAGUGGCGGACGGGUGAGGAAUACAUCGGAAUCUACCUUGUCGUGGGGGAUAACGUAGGGAAACUUACGCUAAUACCGCAUACGACCUACGGGUGAAAGUGGGGGACCGCAAGGCCUCACGCGAUUAGAUGAGCCGAUGUCCGAUUAGCUAGUUGGCGGGGUAAUGGCCCACCAAGGCGACGAUCGGUAGCUGGUCUGAGAGGAUGAUCAGCCACACUGGAACUGAGACACGGUCCAGACUCCUACAGGAGGCAGCAGUGGGGAAUAUUGGACAAUGGGCGCAAGCCUGAUCCAGCCAUACCGCGUGGGUGAAGAAGGCCUCCGGGUUGUAAAGCCCUUUUGUUGGGAAAGAAAUCCUGUCGAUUAAUACUCGGUGGGGAUGACGGUACCCAAAGAAUAAGCACCGGCUAACUUCGUGCCAGCCGCCGCGGUAAAAC
rnacentral:rRNA from 1 species